GAGUUUGAUCCUGGCUCAGGAUGAACGCUGGCGGCGUGCCUAAUACAUGCAAGUCGAGCGAACAGAUAAGGAGCUUGCUCCUUUGAAGUUAGCGGCGGACGGGUGAGUAACACGUGGGUAACCUACCUAUAAGACUGGGAUAACUUCGGGAAACCGGAGCUAAUACCGGAUAACAUUUAGAACCGCAUGGUUCUAAAGUGAAAGAUGGUUUUGCUAUCACUUAUAGAUGGACCCGCGCCGUAUUAGCUAGUUGGUAAGGUAACGGCUUACCAAGGCGACGAUACGUAGCCGACCUGAGAGGGUGAUCGGCCACACUGGAACUGAGACACGGUCCAGACUCCUACGGGAGGCAGCAGUAGGGAAUCUUCCGCAAUGGGCGAAAGCCUGACGGAGCAACGCCGCGUGAGUGACGAAGGGUUUCGGCUCGUAAAACUCUGUUAUUAGGGAAGAACAAAUGUGUAAGUAACUGUGCACAUCUUGACGGUACCU
rnacentral:rRNA from 1 species